rnacentral:lncRNA from 1 species
AUGGAUAAUGGUAUUCCAAGGAGCAAAAACCAAAUCAGGGGUGAUACAGUGUGGACGGACAGCAGUGAUGACGGAGACGGUCAAAAAGUUGGAUUUGGCCCUGACGCAGAACCUGCUGAUCGGACGAAGGAGCGAGGUGUGGAAAAUAAUGGCUCCCCCGAUGUCAAAGAUGAUGCUGGAUCACACAAAUGGACACACAGAUCCUCACAAGACUCUUUAUUGGGAUGUUCUCCAAAUAAUCCUGGGGAGCAGCAGCAUUUGCUGGACUGUUGUGAAGAAGCCUCGUUAAUCGGUAUCGGCAGAGUAUCGGAUGACCCAUCUCCUUCGCUGUCACCAGUACCUGAUAAAGAGGAUGAAACUAAAAAACAGAUUCGACAUAACCUUGACGUAGAUUCACAUGGUCGGUUAUCAAAAAAACAAAUAACAGAAUUGGGGAAUGAUCAAAUUGAUGACGGUCAUUUGGUUGAUAAAGCUGACAGUUGCACAUCAGCAGUGAAAGGGGAUGUUCUGAAUAGCCCAUAUACCUCUGCAUAUGCCAAAGCCACGGGAUUAGAGGAGGCAGCUGCUGUCGAAGUAGAUGAUGGUUCAAGUGGGGAUUGUGAUCACACACCCCAGAAACUGCAUGACAGUCUUAGUAGGACUACAGUUAAAGAGUUUGAUGUAGGAGAUGGUUCUGAUAAUGCUCACAAUAGAUGCCUGAGUGCAGGGAAUCAGCUCAAUGUUGAAUCUAGACUAAAUUCACGUAUUCACCCAGAAAGUGGAAAUGCUGCUUUCAGCAGAACAGAAAUGUCGUCUGGUGACCUCAGGGGACAACCCACCACUGAUGAUGUCACUGCUGUUGAGAACUGUGAUUCCAGAAGGAACUGCGCUGAUGAGUUGUUACUUCAGACUGACAUUGAUGAUGUUGAUCUAGACUCACCUGAUGAGGCAAAGAGUGUAGUGGAGAGAAGUGAAGAAGUCAGAAUCUCGGAAGGGCCUCUCACACAGGUAAAAGAGAAGAACGUCAGGUACUUUUAG